rnacentral:rRNA from 1 species
UACGUAGGGUGCAAGCGUUGCCCGGAUUUAUUUGGGUGACGGUAAAGGGCGCGUAGGGUCGGCUCUGCACGUCCGUUUGUGAAAUCGCCCGGACUUCAACUGGGGAGGGUCACGGGUAACGGCAGUGCUCUGGAGUGCAGGGAGAGGGAAGUGGAACUCCGGGAGUAGCGGUGAAAUGCGUAGAGACCCGGAGGAACACCGGUGGCGAAGGCGGCUUCCUGGUCUGCAACUGACGCUGUGGCGCGAAAGGCUAGGGAGCAA